ACUGCGUGCCACUACGAUUUGGUAUCUUA
rnacentral:piRNA from 1 species